rnacentral:rRNA from 1 species
UACAGAGGGUGCAAGCGUUGUUCGGAAUUACUGGGCGUAAAGAGCUCGUAGGUGGUUUGUCGCGUUGUCCGUGAAAACUCACAACUCAAUUGUGGGCGUGCGGGCGAUACGGGCAGACUGGAGUACUGCAGGGGAGACUGGAAUUCCUGGUGUAGCGGUGGAAUGCGCAGAUAUCAGGAGGAACACCGGUGGCGAAGGCGGGUCUCUGGGCAGUAACUGACGCUGAGGAGCGAAAGCGUGGGUAGCGAACAGG